rnacentral:rRNA from 1 species
GACGUAGGGCGCGAGCGUUGUCCGGAUUUAUUGGGCGUAAAGAGCUCAUAGGCGGCUUGUCGCGUCGUCCGUGAAAACCCACAGCUCAACUGUGGGCUUGCGGUCGAUACGGGCAGGCUAGAGUUCGGUAGGGGAGACUGGAAUUCCUGGUGUAGCGGUGAAAUGCGCAGAUAUCAGGAGGAACACCGGUGGCGAAGGCGGGUCUCUGGGCCGAUACUGACGCUGAGGAGCGAAAGCGUGGGGAGCAAACAGG